rnacentral:lncRNA from 1 species
AUGGAAAGAAGUCGGCCUGAACUAUACACAGAACACACAGAUGGAAGAUUUGAAUCAGCUGUGAAAAAGAUGAUCAGUCCUAAUCAGAAAGUAAAAAUUUAUCCCAUCACUUUUUAUGGAUCCUCUUUUGGGAUAGAACUUGAAAACUUUCUGUGGACAGCUUAAAAGCAUUGUUAAAGAAAACUCUUUUGGAAGAAAAAAUGCAGAAUCAAAGUGUACAGGAGUUCCCUUGUGGCUCAGCAGGUUAAGGAUCUGGCAUUGUCAUUCCUGUGGCUCUGGCUAUUGCAGUGGUAAGUGUUUGAUCCCUGGCCUGGAACUUUUGCAUGCUAUGGGCACAGCCCAAAAAAAUUAAAAAACAAGCGUACACCUCAGUGAACACUCUUGCAGCCCCCCCUGAUGUUAAGAAAAAGAUCCACCUGAAGCUCAGUCAGGAACCAGCUUCUCCUGCUUCCGCUUCCCUAGGGGAUAACGAACCUCUAUUCUGACUUGGAAGGCAGUCCUCCCCCUUCCUUACAGUGGUUUCUGCAGACUUUUACC